GAUGUAAGAUCAAAUGUAAUAGCACGUCAAACAAUGUGUAACUCCAGUUAUACAAACAUUACUGUAUGUCAUUGGGGAUACGAAGCUCUACACACUUGAAGAUGGUGAAGGAAUAUAAAAAUUAUCUCACAGACAGCAAGUUGAACAUUGUGGGAUGCAUAAGCUAUUGAGGCCUUUGAAGCUUUCUGCUACAUGGAGGCUAGGGCCAGAGUCAAGAUUUAUGCUUUGCAGCACACUGGUCAGCUGUUUUUGCAAAUCAGAUUAAAUGAUUUUUAAAUGAGGCUGAGAGCAUGGGAGAUACUAAUGUGUGUUUCCUUGUGAGCUACUGCAUAAGUUAGGAAAUUGAAAUACAGAAAGAUGAAAAGUGAUUCGCCCAAGCAUAUAGAUCAAAGCUGUGGCAGAACCAGGACUGGAACCUAUAUCUCUCUACUAAUGUUUUUUUUUUUUUCUAAAAAUAACCUUGUUUCAAAAAUAUUAAAAAGUCACAAGAAAGGUAAACAUGUGGAUAAACAAAAUGAAGAAAAUAAAAAUUAUCCAGUAAUAACAUAUUGGCAUACGUCUUUCUGGUGUAUUUUCCUGUGUUGUCAUUAUUAUCAUCUCCAUCAUCAUUAUAUCCAUCAUUAUCAUCAUCAACAUCAUCACCAUCAUCAUCAUCAUUAUCAUCACCAUAGCGAACACAUAAUGCUUACCUAGUGUCAGAUGCUGUCUAGGCAUUUUACAUGUAUUACUUGUAACCCAUGUAAUCCUCAUAACAACCUUAUAAGGUGGUUGCUAUUAUCCCCAUGUUACAUAUGAAGAGACCGAAGCAUAAAGAAGUCGCACAGCUGGUAAUUGGCUGGGAUUUGAACUUAAGCAGUCUAACCUUAGAGUAAUGAUUUUAACAACUAUGCUAUAUACAUACAAAUUUACAAAAUAAAACUGGGCUCAGACAAUAAAAA
rnacentral:antisense_RNA from 1 species